GCCUGGAUAGCUCAGCUGGUUAGAGCGUGGUUCUGAUAAUGCCAAGACUGCAGGUUCAAUUCUCAUAUGGGACA